GUCUGGGCUGUGUGCCAGCACUCACAAUGAUAAGAGUCCUGGGCUUGGCCAACCCAGCUGCUUUCUUGUGGGAGAGUUAGCACCAAGACCCUCAUGGUCUGAGGGAACACAGAGGCUCUUGGGGGGUGGGGGUCAGGGGUUCUGGUCCUUGGAAUGCUGGUCAUAAAGGAAUGAUCUCCCUUGGCAAGUAUGCAGCCUUUGUUUCUCUGCCUGCUUAAGUCAAGCUUCUUUCUGUGAGGUAGCGGAUGCACAUUGCUGCCUAGCCCGCCGCCAUGGGACCUUCCCUCUUUCCUGCAGAGGUUCACCCAGGACCACUCCAUGACAAUUCAGGCUGCCUGGCUCCUUUGGCUGGACAGUGACUUCUGAACCAGGAUAAGAUUGCAUCUCUGAGUCCAUUCAAACAGUCAAGGGUAAAGGAGAAAUAAAGCACUUGGUCAGAUUGUCAGAAGCAAGCUGACAUUGAUAAAGAAGUUCGCGGAGUUUGUCUGUGGCGGUGCUUUUGACUCCAGUGCUAAAGGAUUGUCAACAAGGAUUAAUAUUCAUGGAAAACAAGAACUGCCGUGUAAUGCAGGUAGGCUCACUCACAGUGGCAUCCUCGCAGUCACCUGUGUGCUAGUGAGUGACCUGGGAUUUUUCUCCUCUUCCACCAAGUCAACUUUAGCCCAACAACCUCAAAACGAAUGAGCAACCACUGAUUUUCCAUGUUAAGUAUGCCUUAGCUAUCAUUAUAGCAUUAUUUGACUCUUAAUUACAAUCCGUGAUGUCAGAAAAAUACCUCACGUUACCUCCUUCUCUACUCUGGCAUUUGAAAACCUCAGAACUGUAAUUAAAAUGCAAAAAGAAAAAAAGUGUUACCAUAACAUAAAAGCCUUCACAGUUCAGGCAAUAUUUCCUCGUCUUCUAUUCAUUUUUCCCAAUUUUCUCUGCAUGAAUCGAUGUUGUCAAUAUAGUUUCAAUUAUGUUAAAUACAAGCAAUAAAUGGUGUCUACGCAGGUGUUUGUCCAAGCAAUAUUAUAUAACUAAGAAAGCUUCUUAUUUUAUUCUAUUUUAUUUAUUCUACUCUUAUUUAGUGGAAUUAUUCUUUUUCCUUCUCAGCCCUGUGCCUCAUGGUAUGGAGGACAGAACACCUACUCUUCCAUGCUGCCCUACAUGUUUGAAAAUGAAGAUGAUGACUCUGUGUGUGUGUGUGUGUGUGUGUGUGUGUGUGUGUGUGUGUGUGUUGUGGGGAGGGAUAUUUGUCUUCAGGCCACUGUGGCUCACUGAUAAAGUGUCAGCAGCUAAAUUUUCAAGUAUCCUUCCUAUUUUCAGAGUGAAGACAAUGAUCUCAGCAUGGUGCCCUAACUCUGCUCCCAAAGUCUCCUUAGAAGUGAGCCCAGAGAUGGUGGGAGACUUACCUUUUGUCCACUCGUCAGCCAUUCUUCUCUCUUUCCCAAACAGUGUGUUUGAAACUGUGUCCUAAUUACAGUUUGAUAAGUAUUCAUUGAUUUGUUGAUUGCUUCUUUCUUUAUUUUGUAUAUAGAUUCAUUCAUUCCUUUGUAUGAAAUUAGUUAAUUCAUAAACUUGGUUAAUAUUUAUUACUUUUUUAAUAUGACACAGGCACUAAAAUAAGUAAAAGCAUCUCAAAAAUGAAAACAAAAAUAAGUCUCUGUCCUUCAAGAUCUUCCAGUGAGGGAUAAAUACAGGUUGGCUCAAUUUUUUAAAUAUUUGCAAUACGAAAAUACCAAAUAUGAUUAGAGAGGUAUACACAGAGUGCAAGGAGCACAGAGAGGGGGCCCAGAGGAGUGGGUGAAGUAUUGUUUAACUGAAUCUUAAAGGCCGAGGUAACA
rnacentral:lncRNA from 1 species